rnacentral:lncRNA from 1 species
AUCUCUCACGGUGAAUAGACUCCUGAAUGAACCUGAGAAAUGAUAUGCAUGAGGAGAUUAGCUUUUUCUUUUCUUUUCUUUUUUCAUUUCUUUUUAUUGCAUUUUUUUUUUGAAAAUAAAUAUGCUAUGAUGCAAAUGAUGCAAACACGACUGGUUGGCUGUGUGUUACGGAGCACAGGUUCAAAGCUUCGGCCUGAAUU